GACGAACGCUGGCGGCGUGCCUAAUACAUGCAAGUUGAGCGCUGAAGGUUGGUACUUGUACCCACUGGAUGAGCAGCGAACGGGUGAGUAACGCGUGGGGAAUCUGCCUUUGAGCGGGGGACAACAUUUGGAAACGAAUGCUAAUACCGCAUAAAAACUUUAAACACAAGUUUUAAGUUUGAAAGAUGCAAUUGCAUCACUCAAAGAUGAUCCCGCGUUGUAUUAGCUAGUUGGUGAGGUAAAGGCUCACCAAGGCGAUGAUACAUAGCCGACCUGAGAGGGUGAUCGGCCACAUUGGGACUGAGACACGGCCCAAACUCCUACGGGAGGCAGCAGUAGGGAAUCAUCGGCAAUGGACGAAAGGCUGACCGAGCAACGCCGCGUGAGUGAAGAAGGUUUUCGGAUCGUAAAACUCUGUUGGUAGAGAAGAACGUUGGUGAGAGUGGAAAGCUCAUCAAGUGACGGUAACUACCCAGAAAGGGACGGCUAACUACGUG
rnacentral:rRNA from 1 species